rnacentral:misc_RNA from 1 species
CAGAGAGAGAGAGAGGAAGGAGCAGGGGGCAAUCAACGUUUUAGCGAGAAGGAGCGGCCAGAAUUGCUUAAAAAUCUACAAAAGAGGGUAAACCCAACCAAAACCCUUAUCCUAUCUUUUGUUUUCCCUUUUGAAAAACUUUUCUCUAGAUUUCCUCCUCUUUCUCUUCUCUCUCUCACUCUGGCUAGUAAGUCCUUUUGCUUCACUCUCUCUUUUCUCCUUCUCUCAUUCUCUGUUCCUAGCUUUCUUUCUGUCCUUUCCAUAAUCUCCUUACAUAUCAAUACCUUUAAUUUCAAUAUUCUUGCUAAAACCAUCAAUGCCUUCUAAAAAUGGGUAUCUGAAAUUGAUCUGUUUCUGAUCUUUUAGUAAAAAGAAAAAGAAGAAAGAGAUAAAGAAAUGGCCCCAAGGUCUGGGAGAGGCAAGUCAAAUAAAGCUAAGGGAGAGAAGAAAAAGAAAGAGGAUAAAGUGGUAGUGCCAAGCCUUCUUGACAUUACUGUAAUCACUCCAUAUGAUACUCAAGUUGUCCUCAGGGGAAUCUCCACUGACAGGAUACUUGAUGCGAAGAAGCUAUUGGCUGUGAAUGUAGAAACAUGUCACCUGACAAACUAUUCUUUAUCUCACGAGGUUAAAGGACAGAGAUUGAAUGACAGAGUAGAGAUUAUUACUCUGAAACCUUGUUUGCUCAGGAUGGUUGAAGAGGACUACACCGAGGAAGCCCAGGCGGUAGCUCAUGUCCGGAGGCUUCUGGACAUCGUGGCCUGCACCACCAGGUUCGCCAAGCCCAAGCGACCAUUACCAUCAACGCUGCCAUCUGAAUCAAAAUCCAAAAAAGCGAGCUUCGGUUCUAUUGGAAAUGGGCCCCACACAUCACCAUCGCCGUCGGGGACGGCGUCCGUUUCUGCGGCGGCAUUGGACAGUAUGGACAUGGCGGCCAUUCACCCGACGCCAAAGCUCUCGGAUUUCUACGAAUUCUUCUCUUUCUCUCACCUCAAUCCUCCAAUCCUUAGUUUGAGGAGGUGUAACAGUAAGGAUGGAGACGAGAGGGGCCAAGGUGACUACUUUGAAACUCAGAUUAAAAUCUGCAAUGGGAAGCUAAUACAUGUGGUUGCAUCAGAAAAGGGGUUUUAUACUGUGGGAAAGCAAUUUUCUCAGAGUCACUCCUUGGUGGAUCUUUUGCAAAAUCUGAGCCGAGCUUUUGCCAAUGCAUAUGAUUCCCUUAUGAAGGCUUUUGUAGAACAUAAUAAGUUUGGUAAUCUUCCCUGUGGAUUUCGGGCAAAUACAUGGCUUGUUCCUCCGCCUGUAGGUGAGUCUCCAUCAAACUUCCCAUCUCUACCUGCAGAAGAUGAGAGUUGGGGUGGCAAUGGUGGUGGACAAGGAAGAAAUGGUGAAUAUGAUCUUCGACCAUGGGCCUCAGACUUUGAAAUAUUGGCUAGGCUACCAUGCAAGACUGAGGAGGAGAGAGUGACACGAGACCGAAAGGCCUUUUUGCUUCACAGCCAAUUUGUUGAUGUUGCAAUUUUUAAAGCUGCUAGAGCAAUACGCCGCCUCAUUGAUUCCAACAAAAAUGCAAAAGAAACAAUAAAUUUUAAUUCAGGCUCAAUUCUGUCUGAAGAUCGUGUGGGAGACUUGUCCAUUGUUGUAAAACGUGAUGUGGCUGAUGGAAGCAUGAAGUCUAGGGAAAAAGUUGAUGGCCAUAGAUUAUCUGGUGCCUCUGCUAAGGAAGUUGCUCAAAGGAAUUUGCUUAAAGGGGUAACUGCAGAUGAGAGUGUAGUUGUUCAUGUAAGUGCAUUCUUCCUUCUCCCCAUUUGUCUUGUAAGCGCCCAUCUGCUUGCACAAAUGCAAGUACAAACAUGAAACAUAUCCAUGGGAAGACAAUAAAUAGUUUAAAAGUGGAUGUGCAUAUACAGGAAAAGCCACACCUCUGCCAAAACAAUUCUUGUAGUGCAUUGUGUUCUUUUGAAUAGGUUCCCAACCAUUUUUGAUGUUCUCUCUCUCCAGCUACUGAUCUAUAUUACAUGAGCCAUCUGCAAUCUAUCUCCUUCUUCCUUUCCUCCCCACCUUUCUUGCUUGCUCAUUCAGUCAUUCUUGACUUCACUAUAUAAAUACACAAAUACCUACAUGCAUAGAUAAAUAUAUACAUGUUUGUGUAAUUGGAUUUCUAUUUGUGUCUUUUUCAGGUGCUGAAACUCAUGUAUGUACAUAAUUGCGUAGAUAAAUAACACAUUCUUAUUGUCUUAAGAAAUAAAAAUGGCACAUUCUUAUUGUCUUAGGAAAUAAAACUAACUAAAUCAAGUCUAUUUCCUUCUUAAGGGGAAAAACAAGAAUAAAGUUAGUAGAGAAAUGCCUUAACUCUUCAGUACUAGCAUUGCCAAUCCCAUCUCGCCGGUCAACUUUUUAAGAACCUGUUUUCUAUGAAAUCACAUUACAUAAUCAUUUUUACUGCCAAAACCUACAUCCUCUCCACUGAAACUCAACAACCCUCUCUGGUGCAGCCCAUUAUUGUUUCUUGCACAUGGCCAAAUCAUCUCAACUGGGUGAAAUUUGAAGAUCUUUCAUAAUGGUAGAAAUGAUAAGUUCAAAUUUAAAGG